CCUCGGCCAAUGGGAACCGCCGCUCGUGCGCCUCAGCCAAUGAGAAACGGCGCGCGAUCUCCUCUGCAGGGCGCGGACAAGCUACAGGACAACAUGGCGGCAAAGCUGAGGAAAACGAGGAGGAAAGCUUUGCGGCCUAAUUUGCACUCAUCCACACUGUGAACGUCGGCACCCUUUUGAACUGCCAUGACUCACAAGUUGGCUCAAAGGAUGAUACAUGACGGUCCUCUUAUCCAUUUCAUCCUCUUGACAACCCUUUGAGAUAAAUCAGGCUGAAAGAGGAGGACUCGUCCAAGUCUCUACUUCAUAGCUCUGGAGGGAUCUCCGUCAAUCAGGAACUGUGAAGACAACUUGCUUAGCUCUUACCCCUUCAUUUUUAACUUAGCAACAUUCAUCAACUGCAGGCAAUGAAAUCCUUUCUGUUUGUAAAGUUACAGGGUGAAUUCAUAGAACUGUCACAUACAUGUUCACUCAGACAUCAGUCCCAAUAAAUUAGAUAGAGCACAGAGCCAGGUAAGCGUAUAAAAGUAAAAAUGUGGAAUCUCUUUCGGGCCAAGGACUGUAUUCAGUUUAGAUAUCAUUCCAUUUGUAAACAAGAUAAAAUACAAAGAACCAAGAGAAUGAUGAUAUAUGUUAACAUAAAGCUCUUACUGAGAGUAAUUUAGGAUGCUAUAAUCUGCAUAUCUAUCACACAACACUGCUGUCUGUCUGCCUCCUCCCUGUGAAUAACCCACCACUACUGAUGGGCAAAGCCCAUCAAUAGCUCCCGAUCCCACAAUUCUUCUUGUGAGAUGGGUCUAUUCUGCUUCUGUGCUGAUAUGCUGGUACUAACAUAAUGUGUGCCUGUGCAGUUUUGUUCCCUCCCUUUCAAUAUUCUUGAGCUGUUUGUUUAAGUUUUACAGCAAUAUUUACAAUUUUUUAAAUUAGCAAUUGCUGCAAAAUUUCUUCAGAUCUUAAAAGAAUUAUGUAGCAAGGGAAGCGUGGAAAGGUGGGGCAACAAGGCUAUGCAGAAAUACAAUCACAAGACCAUGGAUUAGCAAGUUGGCAUGAUUGCAUGAAUAAAGAAAGUUGUGAUAAGGAAAGUGCUCAUGCUGGUAUGUAGUUAGUAUCUGUGAUUGUGCUACUGCUGUACUAUAGCAGCUUUGUAUGAUAAAGUUCUAAGCCUUAGGACAGGUAUUUCACCCAUUUAGAAUGGGGAAAACCUCAUAGAACAUCUGGAAAACCACCAUAAGAUUGUACAAUGAGGAAGGAGGCAUGGUCUUCUGGGGAAUGCCAGGAGACUAAGUUGGAACUAUAGCAGGCAUGGGCAAACUUUGGCCCACCAGGUGUUUUGGACUUCCACAAUUCCUUACAGCUGGUAGGCUGUUAGGAUU